rnacentral:rRNA from 1 species
CCUACGGGUGGCAGCAGUGAGGAAUAUUGGUCAAUGGCCGGAAGGCUGAACCAGCCAUGCCGCGUGAGCGAUGAAGGCAUUCGGGUCGUAAAGCUCUGUCCUCAAGGAAGAUAAUGACGGUACUUGAGGAGGAAGACCCGGCUAACUACGUGCCAGCAGCCGCGGGAAUACGUAGGGGGCUAGCGUUAUCCGGAAGUAAUGGGGGUAAAGGGUGCGUAGGUGGUUUCUUAAGUCAGAGGUGAAAGGCUACGGCUCAACCGUAGUAAGCCUUUGAAACUGGGGAACUUGAGUGCAGGAGAGGAGAGUGGAAUUCCUAGUGUAGCGGUGAAAUGCGUAGAUAUUAGGAGGAACACCAGUUGCGAAGGCGGCUCUCUGGACUGUAACUGACACUGAGGCACGAAAGCGUGGGGAGCAAACAGGAUUAGAUACCCUAGUAGUC